GCGUCGAUAGUGCAACGGUUAGCAUACGCUCCCGGAAUGAGUGAGAUCUGGGUCCGAAUCCCUGCUGACGCA